rnacentral:sRNA from 1 species
GAUUGAUUGCGUCGUGGAGAGACAGUGUGUGGAUGAGGGAGGGUCACAGCACAUGCUCAGUCCUGUCAGAGUGAGGGGAAGUUUCUGCGUUCUGCGUGAAGGCUUAGGUCAUAGCACAAGCUCAGUGAAAGCUCUAUGAGGUCUCUGAGACUGCAUGUGCCUCCAUUUUGAGUUGUUAGUGAGAAAAGGGCAGAGUUUUAGCAGAAAGUAAAGGUUCAGGAAUCCAGCUAGACUCACCAGAGCCCGUGUUAGUCAUGGAUGAUCCAUUCAGCCCCUGCAGGCCAAACUUCCAGAUCUGCAACCAUUUCCUUCUCCAGAUGGUGAUACAGUGACCCAACAUGAGGAACUGGUCUGGAUGCCUGGAGUUAACGACUGUGACCUCCUUAUGUACUUGAGGGCAGCAAGGAGCAUGGCGGC